rnacentral:rRNA from 1 species
CCUACGGGUGGCAGCAGUGAGGAAUAUUGGUCAAUGGGCGCGAGCCUGAACCCGCCAAGUAGCGUGAAGGAUGACUGCCCUACGGGUUGUAAACUUCUUUUAUAAAGGAAUAAAGUGAGGCACGUGUGCCUUUUUGUAUUUACUUUAUGAAUAAUGAUCGGCUAACUCCGUGCCUGCAGCCGUGGUAAUACUGAGGGUCCGAGCGUUAUCCGGAUUUAUUCGGUUUAAAGGGAGAGUAGAUGGUUUGGUAAGUCAGUUGUGAAAGUUGGCGGCUCAACCGGAAAAUUGCAAUUGAUACUGGCAGUCUUGAGUACAGUUGAGGUAGGCGGAAUUCGUGGUGUAGCGGUGAAAUGCUUAGAUAUCACGAAGAACUCCGAUUGCGAAGGCAGCUUACUAAACUUCCACUGACAUUGAGGCUCGAAAGUGUGGGUAUCAAACAGGAUUAGAUACCCGUGUAGUC